GAGAUAUAUGUGGGUGCCUUUUACAAUUUUUCCAGUUCUGUGUUGUGGUUCGCCAGCGGCAGCAGAGUCGGACAGUGAGGAGGCUGGGGAGGAACAUGGGCCAGUCCUGGAGUCCGGGGACAGCUCGGACGAGGGCUCUGCGUCAGAGGCAGAGAGGGGGCCAAGGCCAUCUGGGAGUUAUGUGCUGCCUUCGGAGCCUCCAGAGACGGACAUCAGAGAGGCAGAGGAACAGGAGGAGCCUGUUCCUAAUGUGCGCAUGUGCAGAGCUGCAAGACGGCAAGAACAAUUAAGACAAAAGGGACAACUCGGGAGUAAGGCUUGGAGAUGAUUGCCCUCCCAUAAGACAUAAAGCAGAUUUUGCAUGGCUUGUCCAGGGUGCUGAAUGCUUCACCCGUGAACAAUGCACCUUACACCGUUGGGUUGGCAGAAGUCAAAUCUUCCGUCCGUGGGAAAAGGAUUUUUAUGAACAGAGCCACCUGGGUAAAGCUUCCCGCUGCAUUAGGAGACCUUCCUCGCAGGAUUCGCCCGGAGGCAGAUCAAAAUCCGGGAAAGAUGCCAUAAGAGGGAUCGUAAAAAAAAUAAAAUAAAAAUAAAAUGCGAUCCUUAUCGCCCCCGUCAUCGCUGAUAA